AUCUAAGUACCCCGAGGAAAAGAAAUCAACCGAGAUUCCCCCAGUAGCGGCGAGCGAACGGGGAGCAGCCCAGAGCCUGAAUCAGUGUGUGUGUUAGUGGAAGCGUCUGGAAAGGCGCGCGAUACAGGGUGACAGCCCCGUACACAAAAAUGCACAUGCUGUGAGCUCGAUGAGUAGGGCGGGACACGUGGUAUCCUGUCUGAAUAUGGGGGGACCAUCCUCCAAGGCUAAAUACUCCUGACUGACCGAUAGUGAACCAGUACCGUGAGGGAAAGGCGAAAAGAACCCCGGCGAGGGGAGUGAAAAAGAACCUGAAACCGUGUACGUACAAGCAGUGGGAGCACGCUUAGGCGUGUGACUGCGUACCUUUUGUAUAAUGGGUCAGCGACUUAUAUUCUGUAGCAAGGUUAACCGAAUAGGGGAGCCGAAGGGAAACCGAGUCUUAACUGGGCGUUAAGUUGCAGGGUAUAGACCCGAAACCCGGUGAUCUAGCCAUGGGCAGGUUGAAGGUUGGGUAACACUAACUGGAGGACCGAACCGACUAAUGUUGAAAAAUUAGCGGAUGACUUGUGGCUGGGGGUGAAAGGCCAAUCAAACCGGGAGAUAGCUGGUUCUCCCCGAAAGCUAUUUAGGUAGCGCCUCGUGAAUUCAUCUCCGGGGGUAGAGCACUGUUUCGGCAAGGGGGUCAUCCCGACUUACCAACCCGAUGCAAACUGCGAAUACCGGAGAAUGUUAUCACGGGAGACACACGGCGGGUGCUAACGUCCGUCGUGAAGAGGGAAACAACCCAGACCGCCAGCUAAGGUCCCAAAGUCAUGGUUAAGUGGGAAACGAUGUGGGAAGGCCCAGACAGCCAGGAUGUUGGCUUAGAAGCAGCCAUCAUUUAAAGAAAGCGUAAUAGCUCACUGGUCGAGUCGGCCUGCGCGGAAGAUGUAACGGGGCUAAACCAUG
rnacentral:rRNA from 1 species